GUUUUGGAGUGCAGGCGUGAAUAGUCCUUUCUGUCCUGCUUUGAGUACUGCUGUUGGGUGCCUUGGGGGGACCUUAAGGGAGCUCGGAAGUUGAGACGUGGUGAGUGCGAGAUCACUGCCCACAAAGGGGAGGAGCAGGCGGAUGAACAGCCAGAGCUGCAAUGGUGGAUCCUCCUCCAGGGCUGCAUGGGACGACAGAUAGAUGAGGCUCUAGGACGGGCACAAAUGCUACCCGAAUGCAAACCACUCCGGAGAUCUGUAAAAGGACUGGCCCCGGACAGGAAGCACACUUUAAACUAGAGGCGGGGUAAGACUCGUGGGCCAAUCAAGGCUUCCGAACAGAACUGCCAUUCUGGCAAUGAGGCGGGGUCUUCCGGUUGCCUGCUGGAAGUUUGUUUUUGCUCUGCAGGAUUGAAGGGUUCUCCCUAUGCUGCUUUGAGCGCUGCUAUUGGGUGCCUUGAGGGGACCUCAAGUAAGCUCCAUUUUUGAAACAUGAGUCAAAGCCCCGGUGAAGAUUCUGUGACGGUUCAUUGUAUAAUUUAUGAUGAUGAAGAUUGAGUUGCAUUUUGCGGAAAAGAGAUGUUGAGAUAUCUAAGGCAUUGAGAAAUCUGUCAUGCAGACAUGCACACAGGGAGAGGGAGUACCCAAACUGAUGAGAACUUACAGGAAUUGGACCAUCUAAGCCCUUAGAAAGUGAAGUCCACUGUGUCUCAAACAAAGAUCUUCAUCCACAUCUUGAAGUUUGAAGUUUGGCCAAGAAUAUACAGAGUAGAUUCUCUUUCUCAGGAUGGCAAGUGUUCAUGACAUCAAUACUACCCAAGGCUUCAGAGUCAUUGGAUUGCAGUGAUGUCAGGAUUAUGCUUUGUGUUGUCCAAAUCUAUGGGAUAUUUUAGGAUGCAGUAACUUAUGAUGAUGUGCGUGUGAACUUCACUGAGGAAGAGUGGGAUUUGCUGGAUCCUUCCCAGAAAAGUCUCUAUGAAGAGGUGAUGCUGGAGACCUACCAGAACAUCACUGCUAUAGGUAA
rnacentral:lncRNA from 1 species